rnacentral:lncRNA from 1 species
UUAAAAUAUCAUCGGGCCAGUCUAGGCCCUGUUGUGAACCAGAAGGUCUGCUAAGUUGGAUGUUGGAUAUAGAAUGGAAGGAAUAUCAUGGCCGAGAACAAGGCAUAAUUGUAUGUCCCUUGAUGUAGGGGGGCCUGUAAAGAUAAAUAAUUCCUGGAGUCAUCUCGAGGUAUAGUACUCAAGUCGGAGCGAAUCAAUUGAUAGCACGAUGAAAA